UACGGAGGGUGCAAGCGUUGUUCGGAAUCAUUGGGCGUAAAGCGCGUGUAGGCGGUCUUGUAAGUCUGAUGUGAAAGCCCGGGGCUCAACCCCGGAAGUGCAUUGGAUACUGCUUGACUAGAGGACGAGAGAGGGAAGUGGAAUUCCAGGUGUAGGGGUGAAAUCCGUAGAUAUCUGGAGGAACAUCGGAAGCGAAGGCGGCUUCCUGGCUCGUAACUGACGCUGAGACGCGAAAGCGUGGGGAGCAAACAGG
rnacentral:rRNA from 1 species